rnacentral:rRNA from 1 species
GAUGAACGCUGGCGGCGUGCCUAAUACAUGCAAGUCGAGCGAACAGACGAUGAGCUUGCUCCUCUGACGUUAGCGGCUGACGGGUGAGUAACACGUGGAUAACCUACCUCUAAUACUGGGAUAACUUCGGGAAACCGGAGCUAAUACCGGAUCAUAUAUUGAACCGCAUGGUUCAAUAGUGAAAGACGGUUUUGCUGUCACUUAUAGAUGGAUCCGCGCCGCAUUAGCUAGUUGGUAAGGUAACGGCUUACCAAGGCGACGAUGCGUAGCCGACCUGAGAGGGUGAUCGGCCACACUGGAACUGAGACACGGUCCAGACUCCUACGGGAGGCAGCAGUAGGGAAUCUUCCGCAAUGGGCGAAAGCCUGACGGAGCAACGCCGCGUGAGUGAUGAAGGUCUUCGGAUCGUAAAACUCUGUUAUUAGGGAAGAACAAAUGUGUAAGUAACUAUGCACGUCUUGACGGUACCUAAUCAGAAAGCCACGGCUAACUACGUG